AUUGAACGCUGGCGGCAUGCCUUACACAUGCAAGUCGAACGGUAACAGGUCUUCGGAUGCUGACGAGUGGCGAACGGGUGAGUAAUACAUCGGAACGUGCCCAGACGUGGGGGAUAACGAGGCGAAAGCUUUGCCAAUACCGCAUACGAUCUAAGGAUGAAAGCAGGGGACCGCAAGGCCUUGUGCGUUUGGAGCGGCCGAUGGCAGAUUAGGUAGUUGGUGGGAUAAAAGCUUACCGAGCCGACGAUCUGUAGCUGGUCUGAGAGGACGACCAGCCACACUGGGACUGAGACACGGCCCAGACUCCUACGGGAGGCAGCAGUGGGGAAUUUUGGACAAUGGGCGAAAGCCUGAUCCAGCAAUGCCGCGUGCAGGAUGAAGGCCUUCGGGUUGUAAACUGCUUUUGUACGGAACGAAAAGGCUCUGGCUAAUACCUGGGGCACAUGACGGUACCGUAAGAAUAAGCACCGGCUAACUACGUG
rnacentral:rRNA from 1 species